rnacentral:lncRNA from 1 species
UUUUUUUUUUUUUUUAUAUUUUGAGAAACCUCCAUACUGUUUUGGCAUAGAUAGUGGCUGCACAAUUUUGCAUUCCCACCCAGCAUACAAGGGUUCCAAUUCCUCCAUAUCCUCACCAACACUCUUUUGUUUUUUUGAUAGUAGUCAUCAUAACAGGUGAGGUGAUAUUAAGGAGUACUUCUGCACUGAGGCACUUGUCUCAACUAUAUUUUUGUUGUACUUUCAGGAGACUAAUAGAUCUGUGGAAAUUUAUCAAAUCUUUGCUCAUUUUUUUAACUUCUGAGAGCUCUUCUUUAAUCUGAGUGUUCCUUUUUAUGAAAUUGUUGAUGAAAAAAGCCGAACAAGUGUAAAAUAUUUUAAGAGAUUUAUUCUGAGCCAAAUAUGAGUGACCACAGCCCAUGACACAGCCCUCAGGAGGUCCUCAGAACAUGUGCCCAAGGUGGCUAAGGUACAGCUUAGUUUUAUAUAUUUUAGGGAGGCAUAAGACAUCAAAUACAUUUAAGAAACACAUUGGUCUGGUUUAGAAAGGUGGGACAACUCAAAGAAGGGGCUUCCAGACUAUAGGUAAAUUUAAACAUUUUCUGGUUGACAAUAGGAUGAGUUUAUCUGAAGACCUGGGAUCAACAGAAAAGAAAUGUUCAGGUUAAGAUAAAGGAUUGUGGAGACCAAGUUUCACUGUGCAGAGGAAGCUCUCAGAGAGCAGACUUCAGAGAGCAGGUGGUAAAAUAUUUCUUAUCAGACUUAAAAGGGUACCUGACUGUUAGUUGAUUAUCUCUUGGAUCUGGAAAGGAAGGAAGGAAAACAAAGGGGAAAGGGGACUCAUUAUAGAAUGUGGAUUUUUCCCACAAGAGACUUUGCAGGGCAAUUUCAAGGUAUGGCAAGGAAAUAUAUUUUUGGGUAAAACAUUUUUAUUUUCUUCCUUGUUAUGCCAGAGUCAGAUUGGAAAGUCAAGAUAUACAGGGUUAAAUAAAACCCACCUGAUGAGAAUUUAUGAUUUGUAGGGCAUGACUCUCUAGGCCCCUUAGACAGGAAUUUGGGCAAGAUUUAACAAAUCAGAGCUGAGUCCUCAAAAUCCUAUUAUUGUUUCAUGAAUAUGGUUUAAGAAUAUUAAUUACGGAGGGCACGGUGGCUCAUGCCUGUAAUCCCAGCACUUUGAGAGGCUGAGGAGAAUCACUUGAACCUGGGAGACAGAGGUUGUAGUGAGCCAAGAUGGCGCGAUUACACUCCAGCCUAGGUGACA